rnacentral:rRNA from 1 species
CUUAAUUUUUUUGGCGGUUUAUUACCCUUUCAUAGGAACUUGUUAAAUUUAAUAGAUAACCCACUUUUAAUAUUACCAUUAUUUUAUUUAUGUACGGCUGUAUAAUUAUAGAUUAGAUUUUUUUAUUUUAAAAUUUAAUUUUUUUAUUUCAGGUCAAUGUGUAGGUUUUGUAAUGGUUUUUAAUGAGUUACAUUUUUAGGAGGUUUAUUUAUUAUUAAAGAAUUUGGAUAUGAUAGUAAAUAAAAAUUAAAAAUUUUUAUUGAUUAAUGGACCUAAUAAAAGUACAUAUCGCCCGUCACUCUUUUGAUAG